GACGGGGGAUGCAAGCGUUAUCCGGAAUCACUGGGCGUAAAGGGCGCGUAGGCGGUGGGUUACGUCUGCCGUGAAAUCCCCGGGCUCAACCUGGGAAUGGCGGUUGAAACUGGCUGACUGGAGUAUGGGAGAGGGUGAUGGAAGUCCAGGUGUAGCGGUGAAAUGCGUAGAGAUCUGGAGGAACACCAGUGGCGAAGGCGGUCACCUGGCCCAAUACUGCCGCUGAGGCGCGAAAGCGUGGGGAGCAAACAGG
rnacentral:rRNA from 1 species